AAAUGGAGUGUUUUCCCAAGAGGUUGAUCCUUGCUCCAUUUGUUGGCAGAGGGGUAAGUAAGGCCUAUGCAUCUGCCUCCUGUCGGGGGAUAGCGUUCCGAAAGGAAAGCUUAUGCUUAGUCCCUCCUACCGCUGCUUUCCGGGGACCUUCGGCCCUUGCCCUUUCAUAUGAUCCUAAGUCGAAUUCGUUUUUUGGUGAGGUAGGGGCUCUCCCCGGCCACCAUCCCUAUCUGGUCUGAGAGGUUGGAGAGGCUAAUCCCCCCUGGAACUCAGUCCACACUCAUACUCCAGGCGGCGGUGGGGGAUGGUGAAAAAUGGGGAAGGGCCCGAGCCUGACCUGCCCCUCCUGUGAGAGUAAACUUGGGAUUGCAAAGGACUAUAAACUGGGAGGGAAGGCAAUAGGAACAGAUCCUGCGUAUGUGACGUUGCCUACAUAAUAAAAACCGACCAAGUACAUGCGUGCGGCCGCCGCCAGACAAAGGGAGAAAGCGAUAAUCGUACUUAUUGGGUGUAAUUCACCGUGCGUGGAACGUUCAAUUAGAAAGGGAGGAACACGCCAAGCUGGUAACUGCAUCCCCAUUGGACAGAUAGAUUAAGUAGGGGGGAAGC
rnacentral:rRNA from 1 species